UGCUGUCUGUGACAUCUCUCACAUGCGUACCCAGUUGUUCUGUUGGUUUUGCUUGUUAUCAUCCAUCACCAGAUGAUAACAGAAUAAUUCUGGAGGUACUGAUUGCUUAAUUAAGUGGAGUUCUUUUCUGUUGGUUUUCUAAGGUCCCUGUUUGUAAUUGCAAUGAAGCAAUAAUAUAAUACGUCUUAAUGUUGUGGACUUUGCCACACAUUAUUAAAAUUCAUGAGGUAGUGGUUUAGGUGAUAUUAGAAGAAUGUUCUUGCGCAGAGAUGUUGUAUACUGAAACAUAAUUAAAUAAAACAGCAAGUCUUUAAAGUUAACUGUUGUACUUCAUUUGGCCAUUUAACAAUAACUUUCAAAUAGAACUGUGGAUUGCUGAGAGCAGCCUGAUUUUAAAACAAAAGCACCCCUUUGGAAAUGGAUACCAAAAAGUUGUAAUUGUAGAGUCAUAGAAUGGUUUGGGUUGGAGGGGACCUAAAAGACCGUCCAGUUCCAACCCCUACUGUGGGCAGGGACACCUCUCACUUCAUCGGGUUGCUCAGGACUGUCUGCGCUCAAAACUCCUUCCUUUCCAGGGAAGGGGCAUAGAUAAGAAGAAUAAUUUUGUCUUUUAUAAGCAAUUAUAAAUCUAUGAAGGUGUCAUUCUUAACCUGCUGUGAUAAUGUUUGUUAAAAAUGAACUCUGUCCUCUGUAAACUGUAGUGAUUUUCCCAAACCUGAAAAUAUUUUCCUCAAAAUAAUGAAAACUGUAGCAGAGUGAAAUAUAGUGAAUUCUACAAAAUUAAGUGGGUCUUGCCUGUGUUCUGAGGAAAUGUAUUUACUCUUUUACUUGUUUAACAUUGUGGCAGGUCGUGUGGUUAACAGCGAAGAACCACACAGAAAUGAGUGAUCAGCAGAUGAAUAGGACAACACAACCUUUCACCUCACUGUGGACGUGUGUACUCAAGGGAAGUUUUUACUUAUCAGAGUGCAAACCAGAGCCAAAAGACUGUCAAGUAUGAAGCACAAUGGUCGUGAAGACACUUUGCUGUCAUGAAGUGGAGAAGAGUCAUGGCUGUCAUUCUACCAAUGGCAAUCUGAAAACAGAGAAGCUCAACUCCUUUGAUUUGGCUCAAACAACUUUCUGAUGUGCACAGAGGAGGUUUGUGAAAUGAGGAGGGAAGACCAUCUAUCAUAAACCCCAGGCUACUGUCCAAUUAACAAGGCCAUCCUGUGUCUGAGAAACUGUUGAAUCUGGCCUUGGGCCAUAAUUCAUUCUUAUUAGAGCCAAUAAUUUCCAUCAUUAACAUAGUGGCUUCUCCUGGCCUACACUGAGCAGAUAGAUAGGCUCUAGAGAAACUUUAACAUGUAAAAAGCCCUGGCAGAUACUGCCCUGGUCAUAGGUGGGUAAUCCUCAACAUACCUCAACAAAGAGGGUGAAAGAGAGAGAAGUAUCGUUUUAUUAGUGUAGCGACACAAGUAGUCCAGUUUUCUUAAAUUCUUCCUGAAGUUCCAAGAUGGCAGCCUCAAGGCUAAUUUUAGCUGAAGUCAACUUAUUUUCUCUAGGUCAGAGAAAAGUUCUGUGAAAUUCAGGGCA